CCUACGGGUGGCUGCAGUAGGGGAUAUUGCACAAUGGGGGAAACCCUGAUGCAGCAACGCCGCGUGGAGGAAGAAGGUUUUCGGCUCGUAAACUCCUUUCGUUAGGGAAGAUAAUGACGGUAUCUGACGAAUAGCCCCCGCUAACUCCGUUCCAGCAGCCGGGGUAAUACGGAGGGUGCAAGCGUUACUCGGAAUUACUGGGCGUAAAGGGCGCGUAGGCGGGCAAGCAAGUCAGAUGUGAAAUCCUCGGGCUUAACCAUAGAACUGCUUUUGAAACUGUGAUUCUAGAGUAUGGGAGAGGUAGGUGGAAUUCUUGGUGUAGGGGUAAAAUCCGUAGAGAUCAGGAGGAAUACUCAUGGCGAAGGCGACCUGCUAGAACAUAACUGACGUUGAGGCGCGAAAGCGUGGGGAGCAAACAGGAUUAGAUACCCCUGUAGUC
rnacentral:rRNA from 1 species